CUUACCGGUGAGCUUUUCUUUCUGCGUGUUUUGAUUACGACGCGCACACUGUGUUAGUUCAGCAUGCGAUCGAUACAAUAUGAAUUGAAAUUGUGCGAGGGAAAAUACGUGUACUUAAUAUUGACUUAAUUUUAUUGUAAAUGUGCUUUGCAGUAUAUUUGUAACAUUUUCUAAAUAACGUUUUUACUACCGGCGGUCAGAGUACUACAAGCGUUGAUCUUUGAGGUUUGCAAACGUGUGAAGUUGCAUAUUGUACUUCAGCAGUUCGUGAUUUACCUGAAAGCUUAUAUACUGGCAAACGAGUAGUUUCGUAUUAACUAAUAGCAGGAGGGGAUGCCAAGCGGCCUCUUGCUUGAGAUCCGCCGCGCGUAGUGCUUGCAAACAUUACACAUAUUCGCGCUGGUGUAGUGUAUUAAUAUCUACAGAUAUAUAGCUCGCUUCGGUAGAGCGCGGUACACCUUCAACGGCGCAGCGGGGAUGUAUUUCUAGACCAGCACACACGCAGCUGAUUUACUGAUGUUAGAGAUUGACCAUAUAUAGCACAUGAUCAUAUCUGAGGCUGGCUGCUAGAUAGGUGUGGAGAGAGUUAUGACUGCCUCAUGUGCUGAAGAGGGCUAAAAUUAACAAUAGUGUUGGACGUCAGCUGCAGGAGGAUCAGGUAGCUUCAGCUUGCUGCACUGUAUUAUCCACACCAGCAGCACUGCUAGGUAGCUAGAAGCCUGUGGCCAGGUAUGCCUCUGCUUGCUGUACUACUCUAGUGCCCAGAGAGUCAGUCAACUCAAGAUGGAGUGUCACACCAAAAGCAGGAUGUUUCCUUGGUCGCCUGUAACAAUAAUGUUGUCUGUGGCAGUGAUGUUGUUAGCUAUGCAGACUGUCAAUGCACAGAACAAUACUGAAACUGGUAUAGAAGGCGAGGAUCCCCACUAUGACAAAUGCCUGGGGAUACGUCCCUGUAAGAAAGGGAAUAUGUUACCAGUGUGGCAGCCAGAUGAAAACCUCAGUAGUGGAGACAAGGCAGCUAGAGCUAUAGUGUACUUUAUUAGCCUGAUUUACACGUUUCUGGGAGUUUCGAUCGUAGCAGAUCGUUUCAUGGGAGCGAUUGAAGUGAUUACUUCCAAAGAAAAAGAACUAACAGUCAAAAUGGCCAAUGGAGAUACACAAAUUGUAGUGGUACGGGUUUGGAAUGAAACUGUUUCAAAUUUAACUCUUAUGGCUCUUGGUUCUUCAGCCCCAGAGAUUUUACUGUCAAUUAUUGAAAUUUGUUUUAAUAAUAACUUUAAAGCUGGAGAUCUUGGCCCUGGUACAAUUGUAGGAAGUGCAGCCUUUAAUCUCUUUGUCAUCAUUUCAAUUUGUGUGUAUGUUGUCCCUGAAGGAGAAGUGAGACGCAUAAAGCAUCUUCGCGUAUUCUUUAUCACUGCAUCGUGGAGUAUAUUUGCAUAUUUGUGGUUGUAUUUCAUUAUUGCAGUAAUAACACCAGGGGAGGUGAAUCUCUGGGAAGCUGUCGUUACGCUUAUGUUUUUCCCUCUAACUGUAAUAAGUGCAUACAUUGCAGACAAAAAACUACUACCACAUAGAUUUUUGAGGAAAAGAUACAGGGCGAAUCGUGGGAAGACCAUGGUGGUGCAAGCAGAAGGCGAUGUUGAAUUGGCAGACGGUAAAGCAAACAAUGUAGAAUUCAAGGGGCUAGAGGAUGCUGGGGAGGAUGUUCGUGAAUUUGAGCGCCAUCGGAAAGAAUACAUUGAAAUUCUGCGAGAGCUUCGCAAAAAGAAUCCCAAUGCUGACAUGAAAACAUUGGAGGAAAUGGCAGAAUAUGAGUUGCUGAACCGUGGGCCAAAAAGUCGAGCCUACUAUCGCAUCCAAGCCACUCGUAAGCUUACUGGUGGGGGUAAUGUCAUCAAAAAGGCUAAGAUUGAGAAGACACUUCAUGAAGAGGCCGAGGAAAAAGAGGAGGAACCAGAUGACAACAUCACCAGAGUAUUCUUCGACCCUGGGCACUAUACAGUAAUGGAAAAUGUUGGCAAGUUCAGCAUCACAGUUACCAGGAAGGGUGGCGACUUGAGCCAAACCCUGUAUGUAGACUAUAGAACGGAAGAUGGGACUGCCAACGCAGGCACUGAUUAUGAGCAUGCAGAGGGCACCGUCAUAUUUCAGACCGGGGAAGUUCACAAGCAGUUUGAAGUCACCAUCCUGGACGAUGACAUCUUUGAAGAAGACGAGCACUUCUAUGUCCAUCUAAGCAAUCUGCGUCUUGGUGAUGCCAAUGGAAUGUUUCACAGUCAUGGCCAGCAUGAUCAGGAGCUGGUCAAACUGGACACCCCAUCUACAGCCACUGUCAUGAUCCUAGAUGAUGACCAUGCUGGUAUCUUCCAUUUUGCGGAGAGUGAAAUGGCUGUGGUUGAGUCUGUUGGGCACGCAGAGGUGAAGGUGUGUCGGUCUUCUGGGGCACGUGGUCGUGUGAGACUACCCUACCAAAUCACUGAAGGAACAGCCAAGUUGGGCAAGGAUUUUGAAGAGGAAUCUGGGGUCUUGAUAUUCGAAAAUGAUGAAUAUGAGAAAUUUAUCAGCGUUCCAAUUAUUGAUGGAGAAGAAUAUGAGAAAAAUGUGUUUUUUAGCCUGGUGCUGGAAGAACCUCAAGUGGUCAGAAGAGGAUCAGUGGACUCUGAAGAUUCGGAAUCAGGUAAAGACGCUGAUGUCAAUGAAGUUGAAUUGGAGGAUGCUACACCAAUUGAUCAAAUGACGGAAGACCAGAAAAUCGCCAUGCUCGGCAAACCGCGACUUGGAGAAAAAAUUCACACUGUUGUUCGAAUUCAUGAGAGCCAGGAAUUUAAGAGCACAGUAGACAAGCUGUUGAAGAAAGCCAACAUGGCAGUUCUCAUUGGUACUUCAUCGUGGAAAGAACAGGUUCUCGAGGCCAUCAGUGUCAGUGCAGGAGAUGAUGAUGAUGGGGAAGGAGAGGAGAAAUUGCCCUCAUGCUUGGAUUAUGUCAUGCACUUCCUGACCAUUUUCUGGAAGUUACUUUUUGCUUGCACUACACCGCCUACAGAUUACCUUGGUGGUUGGGCUGCGUUUGUUGUAUCAAUCCUGAUGAUUGGUGUCCUGACAGCGUUCAUCACUGACUUGGCCUCACAUCUGGGUUGUACCAUUGGUCUGCAGGACACAGUUACAGCAAUAUCAUUUGUUGCUCUGGGUACAAGUGUUCCAGAUACUUUUGCCAGCAAAGUGGCAACAAUUCAAGAUAAGUAUGCAGAUGCCUCCAUUGGUAAUGUUACCGGCAGCAAUGCUGUGAAUGUAUUCCUGGGCAUUGGUAUUGCUUGGACCAUUGCAGCAGCUGUCCACCUGGCCAGAGGAGAGCCAUUUGUCGUGAAGCCUGGAUCUCUGGGUUUUUCUGUCACAAUGUUUUGCAUAUUUGCAGCCGUUGCAAUUGCGAUAUUAAUAAUUAGAAGAAGGCCAUUCGUAGGAGGAGAGUUGGGUGGGCCUUACAAAUUCAAGCUACCAACAACUGUGUUCUUUGUUGGACUAUGGGUUUUUUAUGUGUUGUUAUCGGCAUUUGAAAGUUAUUGUAUAAUUCCAGGGUUUUAAGAACCCUGGGUCCCCUGUUGUGUUUACCCUUAGAUUGGUAACUUCUGUCAACCUUUGAUAAGGCAACAGAGAGCAAGUGCACUGUUAAUGCCUGUGAUGAUCAGGUCCAGACUAUGUAUGAGCAUGAGUAAUAUGAACAUGUCCAAUAGACAUGCAGAUAUAAUCUGAUGUAUUGCACGAAAGAUUGAGACAAUAUGACUGUGAUGAAGAGUGGUGACUUCUGAAAAAAAAAAAAGAACUGUUCACAAAAGAAAACAAAAUGAGGAUGGACAAUGCACUGGUAUCUUGAGAAUAGUGAUUGUCAGCUGCAGCCUGUACACACCUAAUUUUCAUCUAAAUGCAGUGUUGUUUCUUAAACACUCAAAUACCUUAAAUUCAUUCACUGGGUAUCACAAAAUUAUUGUAUAUUUCUGUACUGUAUAAAGGUAAAUGUAAGUUGCAAAGUGUUAACAGGCCAGCACCAAACACAAUAAUCUGUAGUUUUGAAGAAGUGAAACAUAUGACUGCAGUGAUAAUGUCAUAUUGUGAUCAAGUCCCAAUUAUUUAAAUCACUCAAUUUUAUGUCUCUACACUUUGCAAUGGAAAUCACAGUUAACUAAGUUUUAAAUGUAUGUCAGUGUUUUAAAGACUUUUUUAAAAAUUGCACAUAUCGGUGGUCUGAGUUUAAAGAACAGUAAUUAUAGAAGCAUAAUUUGAGUAAGGCAUAUUUUCUUCUUUUGAUAUAAGACUAAAUCAAUAAAUGUUUUUAAAAAUUUAUAACUGACAAUAGUAACUAUAUCACACAUGUUGACAAAACAGACUUUACUUUUUACAUAUAACCAUGGAAGUAGAGCUCUACUUCUAUGUUAUAACCAAUCUGACAAGGUAAUUGUUUUUUCAUUUGAUUGUUAUUUUGUUUGUUGACACACAAUAUGUUUGUUUAAUUAUACAUUAUUAGUGGCACAGUGCAAUGGUUGUAAAAGCCCCACCCCUUUUAUGAUCUAGUUUACAUUUUGCUGUGUUUAUUUUCACUGCGUUUAUUAUUAUUAUUAUCUCUGGUUUAUGUCAGUAUUUACGAGUAUCACACUUACCCAUCCAGUAUUUUUCUAGUGCACCUAGUUUUUAAAAAGAAAAAUCUUCCAUAAGGGUUAAAAAAAAACAAUGUUGUAUUUUGAUGUAGUUAUGUGUCUUUCAUUUGACUUGAAAUAUACUGUACAUUUAUAUGAUUAAAAAGACCAAUUUGUACAUGAUCAAGAGUGUAACAAAGUUGGUGGCAUUUUUUCUGUCAUUUAGCUAUUUUCAAAUGGCAGUUCUUUGAAUGAUACCUUGAGAAAUUUUUAGCUGGUGUAUUUUAUUUUACAUUCAUGGAAUAUGUCACUAAUUUCCCUAGUGUUGUUCACAUGGUAGUUAGUUGUUUUUUUUGUUUUUUUGGUUGUAUUUAUUUUCCUUCUGCAAUGGUUAAUUUCUCCUAUGGUCAAUAAUGGCUUGGUGAUAUUACUUCUAAAGCUAUAUUUGCACUUUAUCAAAUAGUUUUUUUAACAUAGCAAAAUUAAAGUAUGUACUCCCAGCAGUGGCCUUUUUGCCAACUGCCAUGAAGCCUUUGAACUAGCUCAAUUUAUAAAACAAUAAUCAAAGUAAUGACAUUUCUUUCCAGCUUGUUAUGUGUAAGGGCAGUACUGACAUAAAGAGUGAUUUGAGCUGAAAUGUUAUUAAGAUAUAUCAGAGCUUUCCUUUCUUUUUACAUAGCUUUUGCUAUUUUUGAAAAAGAAUUGUGGUCUGUUAAAUGGUGUAAGGGUUGUACAUAAUCUUUUAAACAAAAAACAAUCUUUAAACUGUUCUUUCUGUAAAUUUUCAAGAAAUCGCACUUAACUGUCCAAUUUAUAUGGUCUUUGCUGGUAGUAUUUAGUUGUCGCGUGUAUUAUACAUUUCAUACAAUCAAAAGGAGAUCAAAGUAAAACAGUUAUGUCAGUAGGAUUGCUUUUCAAUAGUGUCUUUCAAAGUUACUUAAUAUUGGCUUUUGAAUAGUUAUCAAAAAUUACCAAAUGUUCACACCCUUUGAUUGCUAGUGAAUGCAUUAUAUAGGUUUCCAUGUCACUUAUUAUUGUAAUUUUUGUUAAUACAUGCAGGGUAAUUUGCAUUGUUUCAGCAGCAGAGAGUUAUAUCAGGCGUUAUGUAUAUUUGCAGCACAUAAAUAUUAUUUAUGGCUUCUAUUAGUAGAAAGCUAUAGGACUGUUGCGUACCUCAUGUUUGAUCUCCUUGUUACAAAGGUGUACACAUUUUUAAUCGUCUCUUUCCACAGUUAUUUUUAAACCCAUCACUCAUCCUUUUAAUCAUCCUUUGUUUUUAUGUUUCAUAUUUUCGAUAUUGAUACUAGAAGGUGAAGUUAUGCCACAAGGACUGUGUAUUUGCUGUGGAGAUUUUUGGCUCUGUUAAACACUAGAGAGAUACGAUUUGGGUAGAUCAUGAACUUUCUGACUUCGUUUUGAAAAAAUGGUUUUGGACUUCUUAGUCUAAAGCAAUCUCCCGUGCGAGCUUGUUUUCAAAUAUUGUAUGGUAAUCAAGGUAAAUAGCAGGCACACAUCAGAUUUUGAAAUUACUGACAUUUAGAAUACUGUCAUUAGUGACUGGUCACACAUUGUUGGUCCUCCUUCAUCUUAAAGCAAUGGUUAUUUUAAAUUGCAAAUGAAUUAUGUUGUAGAUUUAUAUGCCUUUUUGGAAAUCAACAUCCCUUAGCUAAUAGUUCAUUUGCAGGGAAGAUAAAUAUUAAAAUAGAAUUGUUCCAGAAAUCUUAAUUUAUUUACAUAAUUGAUGAAUGGUCAGGGCCAUGGAAUGCAAUGACUGGUUAAUGACAAAUUUACAACUUGGCUACUUUCAUCUUUGUUUAUGUUUCUCAUAAAAUGAUACCAGUUUAGCAAAAAUAAGAUUAGCGAAAAUUAAUGUUUUCCUACAGAAUUUUGUUUUCAGAAUCUAGUCUGUAGACUAUUGCACCUGCAGGAAAAGUGGUAAAAUUACUGGGUUUUUUUUCUCAUUUCUCAUAUUGUUAUUAUUAGUACGUGUUAGCACCAUUUUCACAAUUGCAAUAACAUUAAGGGUUAACAGCUUUGCAAAUAUUGUAAAGCUACCUCUUUUAUAACAUCUGUGUUCUCUUUGGAGGGUCUUAGGAUAGUUGCAUAUGGUAUGUAGCAUUUAAUGUUUUCAAGACCUUCAAUCAUGUUGUAUUUAAACAAUAGUAGUUUUAAAACCUAGUUAUUCAAUUAUGAUAUAAAUACACAUUAUCCCAAUAACAUUUCAAGCCAUAGUUUUAAUGCGCUUUCAGUAUGAAAUUUGCUCUGGUAGUCUGAAAAAAACCUGCAAUGGGACCACCUCAGUUUAUACUGAAAAGUGGUUGUUGUGUUCCAGUGACAUAACUUCUACCAUCAACCCGUUUCAACAAACAGUCAAGUUUGAUGAUCAUUUCUCUAUAUCCCUAGAGAGAGAGUGGUGCCCUUGUAAUUCCUGGUCUUCCUUUGAUAUUUAAGACCUAAACAUUCCCUUGUUAUCCCAUGUGAUGUUUGCAGGAACUGGAUCCCGUUUGAUAUGGUCAAAAGGCACCAUUGCCUUGGAGAAGUUGCCAUGGCAUCAUUGCUAUGACGACAGUCCACUCACCGUUAUACAACAAUCCACUUAGCUUUAUCUGGACUGAUAGCUUAGAGCAGGUUUUUGUAUUAUUAUUACUCUAGUUUUUGUGAGCUUCUUUGGUUUAUCAUGAAAUGUCUUUUGCUUGGUGCUUUAUUGCCAUUACCUAGUGCACAUUUACUGAAAUGUCUUGCCUUGUUAACAUUUUAUGCCAAGGUUUUAUCUAUUUGACAUUUUCCUUUGUGCAAAUUUUCUUAGUUUUUGUACACUGAUUCUCUUUAGGGAAUGUUUAGACUGUUAUUCACUGAGAAUAAAGCAGCAGUGUUUGAAGUGUGAA